AACGAACGCUGGCGGCAGGCCUAACACAUGCAAGUCGAGCGAACCCUUCGGGGUUAGCGGCGGACGGGUUAGUAACGCGUGGGAAUAUACCCUUUGGUACGGAAUAGCCUCGGGAAACUGAGAGUAAUACCGUAUGUGCCCUUCGGGGAAGGAUUAUCGCCAAAGGAUUAGCCCGCGUUGGAUUAGAUAGUUGGUGGGGUAAGUGGCCUACCAAGUCUACGAUCCAUAGCUGGUUUGAGAGGAUGAUCAGCAACACUGGGACUGAGACACGGCCCAGACUCCUACGGGAGGCAGCAGUGGGGAAUCUUAGACAAUGGGCGCAAGCCUGAUCUAGCCAUGCCGCGUGGACGACGAAGGCCUUAGGGUUGUAAAGUCCUUUCAGAUGGGAAGAUAAUGACGGUACCAUCAGAAGAAGCCCCGGCUAACUACCGUG
rnacentral:rRNA from 1 species